UUUACUUUGCCCUAUGACGUACUGGUAACUGGUGGAGAAAAAGUCAAACCUCCAUACUACUUCGCUACUUUUAGGUGAACAUGAUGUGCGAGGGAAAGACGGAAGAAAGAAGUCUGCUGUUGUGAGGCUGAAGUUCAAAGAGAAGAACUCUGGUCAGAUCGCCUUCACACCGCUGACUGCAUCUCCGCCACAGAGCAGAGUCAUACAAAUAUGACGAACAAUCGUGUGCAAAACCUCCAUAAAAAUGCAAAAAGCAGUAACAAGAAAAAUAUGUCUCUGAAUAACAGGAGGACAAAUAUCAUAUGUUGCGAUUGCAACAGCCAGAUAAGAGGCCUGGGAAACUCCAUGGCAUGCAGAAUUACGCUUCAUGGGUAUCGAGACUGUUCUGCCACUGAUGAGAGGAAGUAAUAGUGUCUUGGAUUCGUCUGCACAUUGCUGAAGAUGAUGUGAAAACAGGUUUGAUUUCCAGGAAAUUGUUGACGUAAAUGAUAAAAGUCACAUUCGCUUCUACGGUGUAUCUCUUCUUUUAGCAAUUAAAUUGUUCUAAUUUGUUUUAA